rnacentral:rRNA from 1 species
AUUGAACGCUGGCGGCAGGCCUAACACAUGCAAGUCGAGCGGAUGACGGGAGCUUGCUCCUUGAUUCAGCGGCGGACGGGUGAGUAAUGCCUAGGAAUCUGCCUGGUAGUGGGGGACAACGUUUCGAAAGGAACGCUAAUACCGCAUACGUCCUACGGGAGAAAGCAGGGGACCUUCGGGCCUUGCGCUAUCAGAUGAGC